rnacentral:tRNA from 1 species
GAUGUAGCUCAGUUGAUAGAGUGUUUGCCUCACAUGCACAAGGCCCUAAGUUCAAUCCCCAACACA